CUCGAAUAAGUGGGAUUGAUUUUGCGGAUUGUGUUAUAUAGGAACACUGCUGUAUCGACUUCUCUGCUCCACUAAGGGUGAACCGUAAU
rfam:Drosophila ananassae strain TSC#14024-0371.13 Ctg01_19542, whole genome shotgun sequence.